GAUGGCUUGGCCGAGUGGUCUAAGGCGUUGGACUUGAAUUAAAGCGAUUGGGCUUGAAUUUCAACCUAAUUCGUGACAGAUAUCCAAUGGGGUCUCCCCGCGCAGGUUCGAACCCUGCAGCCAUCG